AUUGAACGCUGGCGGCAGGCCUAACACAUGCAAGUCGAACGGUAACAGGAAGCAGCUUGCUGCUUCGCUGACGAGUGGCGGACGGGUGAGUAAUGUCUGGGAAGCUGCCUGAUGGAGGGGGAUAACUACUGGAAACGGUAGCUAAUACCGCAUAAUGUCGCAAGACCAAAGAGGGGGACCUUCGGGCCUCUUGCCAUCGGAUGUGCCCAGAUGGGAUUAGCUUGUUGGUGGGGUAACGGCUCACCAAGGCGACGAUCCCUAGCUGGUCUGAGAGGAUGACCAGCCACACUGGGACUGAGACACGGUCCAGACUCCUACGGGAGGCAGCAGUGGGGAAUAUUGCACAAUGGGCGCAAGCCUGAUGCAGCCAUGCCGCGUGUAUGAAGAAGGCCUUCGGGUUGUAAAGUACCUUCAGCGGGGAGGAAGGGAGUAAAGUUAAUACCUUUGCUCAUUGACGUUACCCGCAGAAGAAGCACCGGCUAACUCCGUG
rnacentral:rRNA from 1 species